AUUGAACGCUGGCGGCAUGCUUUACACAUGCAAGUCGAACGGUAACAGGCCGCAAGGUGCUGACGAGUGGCGAACGGGUGAGUAAUGCAUCGGAACGUGCCCAGUCGUGGGGGAUAACGCAGCGAAAGCUGUGCUAAUACCGCAUACGAUCUAUGGAUGAAAGCGGGGGACCGUAAGGCCUCGCGCGAUUGGAGCGGCCGAUGUCAGAUUAGGUAGUUGGUGGGGUAAAGGCCUACCAAGCCGACGAUCUGUAGCUGGUCUGAGAGGACGACCAGCCACACUGGGACUGAGACACGGCCCAGACUCCUACGGGAGGCAGCAGUGGGGAAUUUUGGACAAUGGGCGCAAGCCUGAUCCAGCAAUGCCGCGUGCAGGAAGAAGGCCUUCGGGUUGUAAACUGCUUUUGUACGGAACGAAACGGCUCUGGUUAAUACCUGGGGCUCAUGACGGUACCGUAAGAAUAAGCACCGGCUAACUACGUGCCAGCCGCCGCCGUAAAAC
rnacentral:rRNA from 1 species